CCUACGGGAGGCAGCAGUAGGGAAUUUUCGGCAAUGGGGGGAACUCUGACCGAGCAACGCCGCGUGAACGAAGAAGUUAUUCGUAAUGUAAAGUUCUUUUCACAGGGAAGAAAGAGAAAUUUGACGGUACCUGAAGAAUAAGCUCCGGCUAACUACGUGCCAGCAGCCGCGGUAAUACGUAGGGAGCGAGCGUUAUCCGGAAUUAUUGGGCGUAAAGGGUGCGUAGGCGGAAUAUCAAGUCAGCGGUAAAAAUUCGGGGCGCAACCCCGUCGUGCCGUUGAAACUGAUGUUCUUGAGUGGGCGAGAAGUAUGCGGAAUGCGUGGUGUAGCGGUGAAAUGCAUAGAUAUCACGAAGAACUCCGAUUGCGAAGGCAGCAUACCGGCGCCCAACUGACGCUGAAGCACGAAAGCGUGGGUAUCGAACAGGAUUAGAUACCCCUGUAGUC
rnacentral:rRNA from 1 species